AGCGGGGUGGGGAAGCCAGACUACGGGGCUAGGUCAUCCCGGCGGGCUCAUAACCCGCAAGUCAGUAGUUCAAAUCUACUCCCCGCUA
rnacentral:tRNA from 1 species